rnacentral:rRNA from 1 species
UCGGGAAUCUUCCGCAAUGGGCGAAAGCCUGACGGAGCGACGCCGCGUGAGCGAUGAAGGCCUUCGGGUUGUAAAGCUCUGUGGGGAGGGAAGAAUAAGGGUGAGUUAAUAGCUCAUUUGAUGACGGUACCUCCUUAGCAAGCACCGGCUAACUCUGUGCCAGCAGCCGCGGUAAGACAGAGGGUGCAAACGUUGUUCGGAUUUACUGGGCGUAAAGCGUGUGUAGGCGGCUUGGCAAGUUGGAUGUGAAAGCCCACGGCUCAACCGUGGAAGCGCACCCAAAACUGCUUCGCUCGAGUCUCGGAGAGGAAGGUGGAAUGCUUGGUGUAGAGGUGAAAUUCGUAGAUAUCAAGCAGAACACCUGCGGCGAAGGCGGCCUUCUGGACGAUGACUGACGCUGAGACACGAAAGCGUGGGGAGCAAACAG